UUAUACCUCAGGGUGCUGACCCUCUUGACACCCCUGUAGAAGUUGUAUAAAACCAAUUAUGUCCCCAACUAGACUAUAAAACCCAUGAGAGCCAGGACCAUCCUUACUGUUUAAUGACAUGCUGACCUCUUUCUGUAGUUCAGACAUGGUACUAAGCAACAUGAUGCAAGGAUUAUUUGAUACCAGCAUACACAGUAUAAUCAAGAGGAGUAUUAGUCUACAAAUUUCAGAGUAUAUGGCUGCCUUAAGUAACCAUGGUCCAGCCAUCAUUACUGAAUUUCAGAUAAAGGCCAAACAGAACAUAUUUAAGUUAAGAAGAGUCCAAUUAAAAAUCAUACCACCUAUUGGCCAGGCACAGUGGCAUACAUCUGUAUGUAGUUCCAGCUACUCGGGAGAUUGAGGCGGGAGAAUCACUUGAGCCCCAGAGGUCGAGGCUGUAGUGACCCGUGAUUGUGCCACUAUACUCCAGCCUGGGUGACAGAGCGAGACCCUGUCUCAAAAAAAAAGCUGAGGGGCGGGGGUGGAAAUAACUUAUUAACAAGUCAGACCUACAGUUUCCUUUCUUCUCUAGUUUGAGUAUUUCUAGACUCCAGAUAUAAAUAUUUCUUCUGGCCGAGCACAGUGGCUCACACCUAUAAUCCUGACAGUUUGAGAGGCUGAGGCAGGAGGAUCAUUUGAGAACAAUAGUUCAAGACCAGCCUGGGCAACAUAGUGAGACCCCAUCUCUACAAAAAAAUCUAAAAUUAGCUGGGCAUGGUGAGGCACAUCUGUAGUCCUAGCUACUCAGAAGGCUGAGGAAGCAAGAUCGCUAGAGUCCAGGAGCUCAAGGUUAUAGUGAGCUAUGGUCACGUUACUACACUCCAACCUGGGCAACAGCGCAAGACCCUGUCUCCAAAAAAAUAAAUAAAUAUUUCUUCCAUCUUCAUAGGAACUCUCCGGAGUCCUUUCUGUAUUGUUGUGAUUUUGCUUCUGGAGCUGUGGAGCUCGUAAAGUCACACUCGUCCUACAGAGCAACCCAGUGUUUUGCCUUUGUUCAUGAUGUAUGUGAUGAUGGCUUACCUUACCCUUUUCCAGAUGGGAUCCUGGAUGUCAUUCUCCUUGUCUUUGUGCUCUCUUCUAUUCAUCCUGACAGGAUGCAAGGUGUUGUAAACCGACUGUCCAAGUUACUGAAACCUGGGGGAAUGCUGUUAUUUCGAGACUAUGGAAGAUAUGAUAAGACUCAGCUUCGUUUUAAAAAGGGACAUUGUUUAUCUGAAAAUUUUUAUGUUCGAGGAGAUGGUACCAGAGCAUAUUUCUUUACAAAAGGGGAAGUCCACAGUAUGUUCUGCAAAGCCAGUUUAGAUGAAAAGCAAAAUCUGGUUGAUCGCCGCUUACAAGUUAAUAGGAAAAAACAAGUGAAAAUGCACCGAGUGUGGAUUCAAGGCAAAUUCCAGAAACCAUUGCACCAGACUCAGAAUAGCUCCAAUAUGGUAUCUACACUCCUUUCACAAGACUGAACUUUGUAACAUGUUAAGGUACAAAGCCAGAGGACUGUGCUAUUCAAGGACUACUGUAAGUCUAUUGUUUCUCAAAAGACAAUGAGAAAAAAAGAAGAGAAUUUGUAUUUCCUGCCGUUUUGUCAUAGGUGAGCUCCUUUGUGCAUUUUAAGCACAUGUAAGUGGUUCAGCACAGUAUGCCUUUUUCUGUGCUUUGAAAACUUGAUAUGCUCAAGCUUGUUUGAAUUUAUUACAUCUAACCAUUUUGCUUGUUCCUUGAUUUUUAUAAGCAUUCAAUUAAGUUAGUAUUAUGUCAAGUAAUUUUGAGAAAAUGUAACUUGACAUUUUUUGCAAGUAAAAAAAAUUGUUUAUUUGUUUAGGCUUAGUAAACCAGUUCCCAAACAC
rnacentral:lncRNA from 1 species